AUGAGGGAUUUUCUGGAUUUACAAAUCAGUCCCUGUAGUUUUACAGGAACAUCCUUCAAUCAGAAAACAAAAAGCAAUCAACUCCCUUCAUGGAUUUGGGCUGACACAGCAGCCGAGCAGAGCAGCAGAACUAUUUGCCGCAGCACCUCCACCCAAUCCUCCCGACCACCUCUUCCCAAUCCACCUGACCACCUCCCGCCGCUGGCCACCCUCCCCCCAGCCUCACCCGCCGCCGCCACCCCCUCCCCCGGCCUGACGCGCGUCCUUGCGCCGUCGUCCACCCUCCCCCAGCGUCACCUGCCGCCGCCACGCCCUCCCCCGGCCUGA
rnacentral:rRNA from 1 species